rnacentral:lncRNA from 1 species
AAAAGUUUAAGAAUCAGAGGAAAAAAAAAAAAGAAUAUUGCAUCAUUAAAAUAAAAUUAUACUGUUUUACAAGAAAAUUACACUGUUUAAUAUGAACGUUGUAUUUUUUGAGAUAAAAAUUAACUCUUUAACUCUUUCGAUAAAAUUACACUGUUUUUAAAAAAAUUAUACUAUUCUAUAACCCCCAUCGCCUCAUCUUCUUCUCCUUCUUUCUCUUCCCUUGACCCCCUCCUCUCUCUCCCCAUCCGACCUCUAUCUUUGCCAACGCGA